rnacentral:rRNA from 1 species
GAUGAACGCUGGCGGCGUGCUUAACACAUGCAAGUCGAACGGAAAGGCCCAAGCUUGCUUGGGUACUCGAGUGGCGAACGGGUGAGUAACACGUGGGUGAUCUGCCCUGCACUUCGGGAUAAGCCUGGGAAACUGGGUCUAAUACCGGAUAGGACCACAUUUUGGAUGGUGUGGUGGAAAGUUUUUCGGUGUGGGAUGAGCUCGCGGCCUAUCAGCUUGUUGGUGGGGUAAUGGCCUACCAAGGCGUCGACGGGUAGCCGGCCUGAGAGGGUGUACGGCCACAUUGGGACUGAGAUACGGCCCAGACUCCUACGGGAGGCAGCAGUGGGGAAUAUUGCACAAUGGGCGCAAGCCUGAUGCAGCGACGCCGCGUGGGGGAUGACGGCCUUCGGGUUGUAAACUCCUUUCGCUAGGGACGAAGCGCAAGUGACGGUACCUGGAGAAGAAGCACCGGCUAACUACG